UUUUCUAUUUCAUUUUAUUACUUAAAUUUGUAUUAUAAAAUAUAUCACAUUUUUUUAAGUAUCUAAUUAGCUAAUGGAAAAAACAGUAUUCAACCUAACCAUAUUAUUACUACUUGUUAUUAAUUACUACGAAGUUGACUAACAUUAAAAUGUCUUCAACGAAACCUAUACCACAACCUCAUCACGUCAUCACACCUAAAACUUAAGGAAUAUGUUGGACAUUCUACAUUUUGGUUCAAAUAAUGAAACAUUAUACAGUCAGUUUUGGAAAAGAAAAAAGACGUCAGUAUGGUUAUGUUAAACUAAUCGUGGAAAAUUUCAAAUUAUAAGCUAAAAUGUACUAUGUAUGAUGUUAUAAAAAAUAUCGGCGCUGCAGUCAUUUGGAAUGGCGCGGAAUUCUUAUAUAAGCUUCCCAACUCCUACUCAGUUUUCACAGCCGAAUCAAUAGCCAUUUUAAAAGCACUCGAGAUAAUAUCCGAUCAUCACCUACAAGACACCAUUAUCUUCACCGACUCCCUUAGCGCGAUCAACAAUAUAAAAAACACAUAUAAUCCAUCAGACAUUGGCCUACAUAUUCAGAACAAAAUCUACACCUUACAAUAGGUACCACAAUAACAUCAAAAUCAAACUCUUUUGGAUCCCCGGACAUUCCAACAUAAAAGAAAACGAACUCGCUGAUCUCGCAGCCAAAAAUGCUAUCACAUCGCCUCUAUAAUCGUCCACACAAAUCAUUUCUUCCAGUGACAUACGAAUACUUAUAACAAAAGAUUGUCGACAAAGAUGGCAUCAAAAGUGGACAUCUUAUUACACAAAAUUAAACCACAUAAAACACAACACCGACAAUUGGAAAUUUCCCUUCAAAAUUCAUAGAAAAUUCGAAGUAAUAACUACCAGACUGAGAAUCGGACACACAAAAAUCUCUCACAGUUUUCUAAUGUCCAAGGAAGAACCGCCAAUAUGCACAACCUACGGUGUUCAAGUAACCAUCAAACACAUCCUCACCGAUUGUCGAACAUAUCUCAAUACCCGAACAAGCUACAACCUGCCCGAAUCAUCACUAUAUAUCAGAAAUAUUAAACAACCAUCCUCAAUCCAUUACAAACAUCAUUCAAUUCAUCACAGCCGCCAAUCUUCUAAACAAAAUCUAGUAUAAUUUAGAUAUAGAUACAAUACAUGUAACUUUCUUAAUGUAAAUUUCUCACUGUAAACCCAAUGGCCCAUGUUGCCGAGGAUAUCAUUAAUAAAAAAAUAAAAUAUUCAUUCUGAAAAAUAAAACUCAACGUUUUUAGCAAUUAAUGAGAAAAUUAUAAGCGGGAUAAUUGCUAUUGGAACUGAUCAUUCACUAUAAGCUGAAUUUAUCAGUCACAAUUGACAUACUCUACCUAUAUCUUAGCAAUGGAUAAUGGAUUACCUAAACGAUGUUAUAAGACCAAAUAUAAUACUUUGUUAGUAGCGAUAAAA